rnacentral:rRNA from 1 species
UACGGGGGGGGCAAGCGUUGUUCGGAAUUACUGGGCGUAAAGGGCUCGUAGGCGGCCAACUAAGUCGGACGUGAAAUCCCCAGGCUCAACCUGGGAACUGCGUCCGAUACUGGAUGGCUUGAAUUCGGGAGAGGGAUGCAGAAUUCCAGGUGUAGCGGUGAAAUGCGUAGAUAUCUGGAGGAAUACCGGUGGCGAAGGCGGCAUCCUGGACCGACAUUGACGCUGAUGAGCGAAAGCUAGGGGAGCAAACAGG